AUUAGAGGCUGCUGAGGAUGCAUUUCUGUGAUCUGUGAGCUGCGUUUGGGGGGGCACUGAUCCCUAGGGCAUCGUGACAAGGUCAACCUCGUUUCUUCUCUCUGUUCUUGGCAACAGCUAGUCUAGCCAGAAAGAGCAAUCUGUCAGAUCUAAUUAGAGUGGAAGAAAGUGAACAAUGGGCGCCCAGCUCUGAGAUGACAGCCCAGCCUAAUGAGAACUCUCCAGGUCCCUGAACUUUUUAACUCAUACACAUCCAGCAAAAGCAGAGGAGAACCUGGCUCUGUUUCAAAGGAAAGCUAAAGAAGAUGCUCAGACAACCGAGAAAACAUGAGAAAGAAAAGUCCACUACUGCAGUGAAUGGG